UGAGCCCCUCAUGCCUGAAAGGACGGGGUCCCACAGACCCUCCUGAAGAGACGGAGACGCCACAAAGACAGCGCCGCGUGAAGUAGCUUCAAACGCAGGUUUCACUGGAGGCGGAGCCCGCCGCCGCUCAGGCAGAGAGGAGGCUUCCUUUAAUGUGACCAGGAGGCGGUGGGAGUUCCUCCCACCAUCACUGCCUUCAGCUGCAGGCUGCAGGACUCAGCCUGAGAGCAGAACCACUGCAGGCAGAGCCGGCGUGGAGAAGUUUCACGGAUAAAGCUGACAACUCCAGCAGGAUGGAGAUCAUCCUGCAGCACCAAUCCCAGGGUCCUCAUUGGCUGAAGACGUGAAACACUCGGAUCGUGUGAAGCAGCAGCUCUGUGGAUCUGCAUGGUGGGAAUUCACUGAAGCUUGCUGGAAUCCUGCAACAAAACGAGGAUUUCUGUGCAUGUUAGCAUCAAUAAACCUCUAAGUUUAAAGCUGCAUGUUGGCUCUCAGAAACACUAAACUCCACGUGAUGGUGGCGUCAGGAACACUAAUGAAGAAAGAAAGACUGCGUCCAGAUGCUGUGAUUCAGUCAGACGUCUCCAGACGUUUUCACACCACAGACUGGUUCAUGUCAGACAAUAUUUUCAUGG